rfam:Dipodomys ordii contig_6558, whole genome shotgun sequence.
AUCCUUUUCUGAUUCAUAAGCAUGAUGAUUGGGUCCUCACAUGUUUGUAUGAUAUAUACCUCCCUCAAACCUUGUUAUGACCUGGGUAUAUUACCCAUCUGACA